AAACUGCGAUAAGUAGCGUGAAUUGCAGACGCUUUGAACGUUAAACUUUCGAACGCACAUUGCGCCGUAGGAAUCCUACCCUGCGGCACAUCUGGUUGAGGGUCGUGAUCAAAAACAGCAGGAAUAGAAAUAGCUGGUGAAUCACGAGUUCGGCCUACCGCCUCUGGCUGAACGUGUUUUGUCAUAAUGCUAGCAGGGGACAAUCGCUCGCACGAGAGAUUGCCUACCACACGGAUGAUCUAUUAGCUGAAGCAAUGGGUCUCGAUCACCGGAUAUCAUGCUUAUAUACUCUGUGUCGUCUGAGAUACAGCUAGUGGGCUUCAUACGUGCCUAGUAUCGAGAGUAUUCGCUCUCCCGACCUCAAGUCAGGUGUGAUUACCCGCUGAACUUAA
rnacentral:misc_RNA from 1 species